rnacentral:rRNA from 1 species
GACGAACGCUGGCGGCGUGCUUAACACAUGCAAGUCGAACGGAAAGGCCCUGCUUUUGUGGGGUGCUCGAGUGGCGAACGGGUGAGUAACACGUGAGUAACCUGCCCUUGACUUUGGGAUAACUUCAGGAAACUGGGGCUAAUACCGGAUAGGAGCUCCUGCUGCAUGGUGGGGGUUGGAAAGUUUCGGCGGUUGGGGAUGGACUCGCGGCUUAUCAGCUUGUUGGUGGGGUAGUGGCUUACCAAGGCUUUGACGGGUAGCCGGCCUGAGAGGGUGACCGGGCAACAGGGGGAGUGGGAGCGGCCCGAGCCCCCGGGGGGGGGAGGAGGGGGGAAAUUGGCCAAAGGGGGGGGAGCUUGGAGGCAGCAACGGCGGGGGGGGAAGGAGGCCCUGGGGUUGUAAACCCUUUUUCGCGGGGGACGAAGGGGGAGGGAGGGGAGGGGAAAAAGAAACCCGGGCAAACCGGGUC